rnacentral:rRNA from 1 species
GAUGAACGCUGGCGGCGUGCCUAACACAUGCAAGUCGAGCGAUCUUCUUCGGAAGAGAGCGGCGGACGGGUGAGUAACGCGUGGGUAACCUGCCCUGUACACACGGAUAACAUACCGAAAGGUAUGCUAAUACGAGAUAAUAUACUUUUAUCGCAUGGUAGAAGUAUCAAAGCUUUUGCGGUACAGGAUGGACCCGCGUCUGAUUAGCUAGUUGGUAAGGUAACGGCUUACCAAGGCGACGAUCAGUAGCCGACCUGAGAGGGUGAUCGGCCAAAUUGGAACUGAGACACGGUCCAAACUCCUACGGGAGGCAGCAGUGGGGAAUAUUGCACAAUGGGCGAAAGCUUGAUGCAGCAACGCCGCGUGAGCAAUGAAGGCCUUCGGGUCGUAAAGCUCUGUCCUCAAGGAAGAUAAUGACGGUACUUGAGGAGGAAGCCCCGGCUAACUACGUGCCAGCCGCCGCUGUAA